AUUGAACGCUGGCGGCGGGCCUAACACAUGCAAGUCGAACGGUAACAGGAAGCAGCUUGCUGCUUCGCUGACGAGUGGCGGACGGGUGAGUAAUGUCUGGGAAGCUGCCUGAUGGAGGGGGAUAACUACUGGAAACGGUAGCUAAUACCGCAUAAUGUCGCAAGACCAAAGAGGGGGACCUUCGGGCCUCUUGCCAUCGGAUGUGCCCAGAUGGGAUUAGCUUGUUGGUGGGUAACGGCUCACCAAGGCGACGAUCCCUAGCUGGUCUGAGAGGAUGACCAGCCACACUGGAACUGAGACACGGUCCAGACUCCUACGGGAGGCAGCAGUGGGAAUAUUGCACAAUGGGCGCAAGCCUGAUGCAGCCAUGCCGCGUGUAUGAAGAAGGCCUUCUGGUUGUAAAGUACUUUCAGCGGGGAGAAGGGAGUAAAGUUAAUACCUUUGCUCAUUGACGUUACCCGCAGAAGAAGCACCGGCUAACUCCGUGCC
rnacentral:rRNA from 1 species